GAUGAACGCUAGCGGCAGGCCUAAUACAUGCAAGUCGAACGGUGUCUUCGGACAUAGUGGCGCACGGGUGCGUAACACGUAUGCAACCUACCUUACAUUGGGGGAUAGCCUUUCGAAAGGGAGAUUAAUGCCGCAUAAGACAGUAGCUGGGCAUCCAGCAGCUGUUAAAGAUUUAUCGAUGUAAGCUGGGCAUGCGUCCAAUUAGCUAGUUGGUGAGGUAACGGCUCACCAACGCAAUGAUUGGUAGGGGAACUGAGAGGUCAAUCCCCCACACUGGCACUGAGAUACGGGCCAGACUCCUACGGGAGGCAGCAGUAGGGAAUAUUGGGCAAUGGACGCAAGUCUGACCCAGCCAUGCCGCGUGCAGGAUGAAGGCGUUAUGCGUUGUAAACUGCUUUUAUACAGGAAGAAACGACUCUUGCGAGAGGCAUUGACGGUACUGUAUGAAUAAGCACCGGCUAACUCCGUGCCAGCCGCCGCAGUAAUAC
rnacentral:rRNA from 1 species